CUACGGGAGGCAGCAGUGGGGAAUAUUGCACAAUGGGCGGAAGCCUGAUGCAGCGACGCCGCGUGAGGGAUGACGGCCUUCGGGUUGUAAACCUCUUUCAGCAGGGACGAAGCGUAAGUGACGGUACCUGCAGAAGAAGCGCCGGCCAACUACGUGCCAGCAGCCGCGGUAAGACGUAGGGCGCGAGCGUUGUCCGGAUUUAUUGGGCGUAAAGAGCUCGUAGGCGGCUUGUCGCGUCGACCGUGAAAACUUGGGGCUCAACCCCAAGCCUGCGGUCGAUACGGGCAGGCUAGAGUUCGGUAGGGGAGACUGGAAUUCCUGGUGUAGCGGUGAAAUGCGCAGAUAUCAGGAGGAACACCGGUGGCGAAGGCGGGUCUCUGGGCCGAUACUGACGCUGAGGAGCGAAAGCGUGGGGAGCGAACAGGAUUAGAUACCCCUGUAGUCC
rnacentral:rRNA from 1 species